rnacentral:piRNA from 1 species
GUUUGGGAAAUGAAGGUAUCU